GGGUCACCGGCGAACGGGUGCGUAACACGUGAACAACCUGCCCGAGCGAGGGGGAUAGCCGGCCCAACGGCCGGGUAAUACCGCAUAUGCUCACAGUGCCUUAUGGCGCAGUGAGGAAACCUUCGGGGCGCUCGGAGGGGUUCGCGACCUAUCAGCUAGUUGGUGGGGUAACGGCCUACCAAGGCGGCGACGGGUAGCUGGUCUGAGAGGAUGGCCAGCCACAUUGGGACUGCGACACGGCCCAGACUCCUACGGGAGGCAGCAGUGGGGAAUAUUGCGCAAUGGUCGAAAGACUGACGCAGCGACGCCGCGUGGAGGAUGACGCCCUUCGGGGUGUAAACUCCUGUUGCUCGGGACGAACCGUGGGAUUCAUCCCACCUGACGGUACCGAGUGAGGAAGCACCGGCUAACUCUGUGCCAGCAGCCGCGGUAAUACAGAGGGUGCGAGCGUUGUCCGGAAUCACUGGGCGUAAAGGGCGCGUAGGCGGCUUGACAAGCGUGCGGUGAAAGCUCGGGGCUCAACCCCGAGUCGGCCGUGCGAACUGUCGAGCUUGAGCACAGUAGAGGCAGAUGGAAUUCCGGGUGUAGCGGUGGAAAGGCGUAGAAUCCCGGAAAGAAACACCGGUGGCAAGGCGGUCUGCUGGGCUGUGUCUGACGCUGAGGCGCGACAGCGUGGGGAGCAAACAGGAUUAGAUACCC
rnacentral:rRNA from 1 species